rnacentral:rRNA from 1 species
UACGUAGGGCGCAAGCGUUGUCCGGAAUUAUUGGGCGUAAAGAGCUUGUAGGCGGUUUGUCGCGUCUGCCGUGAAAAUCCGAGGCUCAACCUCGGACUUGCGGUGGGUACGGGCAGACUAGAGUGUGGUAGGGGAGACUGGAAUUCCUGGUGUAGCGGUGAAAUGCGCAGAUAUCAGGAGGAACACCGAUGGCGAAGGCAGGUCUCUGGGCCACUACUGACGCUGAGAAGCGAAAGCAUGGGGAGCGAACAGG